GAUGAACGCUGGCGGCGUGCCUAAUACAUGCAAGUCGAGCGAACAGACGAGGAGCUUGCUCCUCUGACGUUAGCGGCGGACGGGUGAGUAACACGUGGAUAACCUACCUAUAAGACUGGGAUAACUUCGGGAAACCGGAGCUAAUACCGUAUAACAUGUUGAACCGCAUGGUUCAACAGUGAAAGACGGUCUUGCUGUCACUUAUAGAUGGAUCCGCGCCGCAUUAGCUAGUUGGUAAGGUAACGGCUUACCAAGGCAACGAUGCGUAGCCGACCUGAGAGGGGGACCGGCCACACUGGAACUGAGACACGGUCCAGACUCCUACGGGAGGCAGCAGUAGGGAAUCUUCCGCAAUGGGCGAAAGCCUGACGGAGCAACGCCGCGUGAGUGAAGAAGGUCUUCGGAUCGUAAAACUCUGUUAUUAGGGAAGAACAAAUGUGUAAGUAACUAUGCACGUCUUGACGGUACCUAAUCAGAAAGCCACGGCUAACUACGUG
rnacentral:rRNA from 1 species